rnacentral:tRNA from 1 species
UCCGAUAUGGUGUAGUGGCCAACAUGAUGCCCUCUCAUCUCAUCCGUGAGAAGUUAGGCAUAGCCCCGAGUUCGAUUCUCGGUUUCGGAA